AUUGAACGCUGGCGGCAUGCCUUACACAUGCAAGUCGAAUGGUAACAGGUUAAGCUGACGAGUGGCGAACGGGUGAGUAAUAUAUCGAAACGUGCCCAGUCGUGGGGAUAACUGCUCGAAAGAGCAGCUAAUACCGCAUACGACCUGAGGGUGAAAGCGGGGGAUCGCAAGACCUCGCGCGAUUGGAGCGGCCGAUAUCAGAUUAGGUAGUUGGUGGGGUAAAAGCCUACCAAGCCAACGAUCUGUAGCUGGUCUGAGAGGACGACCAGCCACACUGGGACUGAGACACGGCCCAGACUCCUACGGGAGGCAGCAGUGGGGAAUUUUGGACAAUGGACGCAAGUCUGAUCCAGCCAUGCCGCGUGCGGGAAGAAGGCCUUCGGGUUGUAAACCGCUUUUGUCAGGGAAGAAAAGGGUGUUUCUAUACAGACGCCUCAUGACGGUACCUGAAGAAUAAGCACCGGCUAACUACGUGCCAGCCGCCGCAGUAAGAC
rnacentral:rRNA from 1 species